rnacentral:lncRNA from 1 species
CCCACAUCCUCAGCUAACCAGCUAACCCAGACACCGAUUUAAGUCGAACCCCUGUUGAUUCAACGUGCCUUUUUUUCUGAGCACCAAGUGCUUGAUGAAAUUCCCCAAUGAGAGUAAAGUUUCAAAAAUUGACACCUUCAUUCCCAAGAUUUUUAUCUAUUGGUGGCUUGAAGAAACUGAUUAUAUUCAUCAGUUCAUAUCGUCUGCAGUGA